AUUGAACGCUGGCGGCAGGCCUAACACAUGCAAGUCGAGCGAGCGGCGGACGGGUGAGUAAUGUCUGGGAAACUGUCUGAUGGAGGGGGAUAACUACUGGAAACGGUAGCUAAUACCGCAUACCAUCAGAUGUGCCCAGAUGGGAUGAGGUAGUAGGUGGGGUAACGGCUCACCUAGGCGACUCUCCCUAGCUGAUCUGAGAGGAUGACCAGCCACACUGGAACAGAGACACGGUCCAGACUCCGACGGGAGGCAGCAGUAGGGAAUAUUGCACAAUGGGCGAAAGCCUGAUGUAGCGAAGCCGCGUGAGUGAAGAAGGCCUUCGGAUUGUAAAGCACUUGCAGCAGAGAUGCGGUAGCCGCACAAAAAGCACCGGCUAACUCCGUGCCAGCAGCCGCAGUAAUUC
rnacentral:rRNA from 1 species